rnacentral:rRNA from 1 species
AGUAAAAGUCGUAACAAGGUCUCCGUUGGUGAACCAGCGGAGGGAUCAUUACUGAGUUUCUACUCAAAAACCCAUUGUGAACUUUACCAUUGUUGCUUCGGCGAGAGGCCUAAACCCCCUCUUGCCGAAGGUAUAAACUCUUUACGUAUGUGUUGUGGCAUAUCUGAGUAAAAGAAUUUAAAUAUUCAAAACUUUCAGCAACGGAUCUCUUGGUUCUGGCAUCGAUGAAGAACGCAGCGAAAUGCGAUAAGUAAUGUGAAUUGCAGAAUUCGGUGAAUCAUCGAAUCUUUGAACGCAUAUUGCGCCCGCCGGCAUUCCGGCGGGCAUGCCUGUUCGAGCGUCAUUUCCACCCUCAGGCCCCGCCUGGUGUUGGGGGCCGGCCGCCCUGGGCGGCCGCCCCCGAAAGACAGCGGCGGGCUCGCCCCGGUCCCGAGCGUAGUAGCAACACGUCGCUCCGGGCGCCGGGCGGGCUCUUGCCGUAAAACCUCCCAUACUUCUAUGGUUGACCUCGGAUCAGGUAGGAAUACCCGCUGAACUUAAGCAUAUCAAUAAGCGGAGGAAAAGAAACCAACAGGGAUGCUCAGUAACG